CGGUGCCGCCACCGCCGCAGCCGGAGUUGGAGGAGGGAGAAGCCAGGAAGAAAAUGGCGGCCGUGGCUGCAGAGGCGGCAGCGACUGCUGCGUCCCCCGGGGAGGGGGGCGCCGGCGAGGCCGAGCCGGAGAUGGAGCCCAUCCCCGGCAGCGAGGCCGGCACUGACCCCCUCCCGGUCACGGCCACUGAAGCGUCUGUGCCGGACGGCGAGGCCGACGGGCAGCAGUCCGCUCCUCAGGCCGACGAGCCGCCGCUCCCGCCGCCGCCGCCGCCGCCAGGGGAGCUCGCCCGCAGCCCGGAGGCGGCGGGGCCGGAGCUGGAGGCUGAGGAGAAGCUACCCGUCCGGGUGGCGGAGCCGGCGGUUGCGGCGUCUCAAGAAGGGCCGGACCUUCCACCUUCCCCAGAGCCGCUUUGCGAGCAGCCCCCGGCUCCCGAGGAGCGCGAGGACACGCCGCUGCCCCAGCCCACAGCUCCGGCGCUGGUGCCGCCGGCGGGCGGGGACUCCGCGGUGUCGCAAUUGAUUCCCGGCUCGGAGGUGCGGGUCACUCUGGACCACAUCAUUGAGGACGCGCUCGUCGUGUCGUUCCGCCUCGGAGAGAAGCUCUUCUCCGGGGUCCUCAUGGAUCUGUCCAAAAGAGACCAUGAACGUAUGGUGCAAUAGCUCUACUUUUGGUGGGAAAAAUAUACAGCCAUUCUGGUGAAGCAGUUUGGGCCCCAUGGGAUCCCUGUGACAGUAUUUCCUAAAAGGGAAUAUAAGGAUAAACCGGAAGCCAGGCAGCUCCAAAGUAAUACAUUCCAAGAAGGGACAGAAGUCAAGGGUGAAGUGAAUGGUGCUGUUCCCAACGAUCCUUCUGUCCCACCUCCUGAGCUGAGUUUGGCUGAAAGCCUGUGGACUUCCAAACCACCACCUCUCUUCCAUGAAGGAGCACCUUAUCCUCCCCCUUUGUUUAUCAGGGACACAUAUAACCAAUCAAUACCUCAGCCUCCUCCUCGGAAAAUUAAGCGACCCAAACGAAAAAUGUACCGGGAAGAACCCACUUCAAUAAUGAAUGCUAUUAAACUACGACCCAGACAAGUCCUCUGCGAUAAGUGUAAAAACAGUGUUGUUGCUGAAAAAAAGGAAAUUAGAAAAGGUAGUAGUGCAAGUGACUCUUCUAAAUAUGAAGAUAAAAAACGGAGAAAUGAAAGUGUAGCUACUGUGAACAAAAAACUGAAAACUGACCAUAAAGUGGAUGGGAAAAACCAAAAUGAAAGCCAGAGAAGAAAUGCUGUGGUUAAGGUUUCAAAUAUUGCUCACAGCAGAGGCAGAGUAGUCAAAGUUUCUGCUCAGGCAAAUACGUCAAAAGCUCAGUUAAGUACUAAAAAAGUGCUCCAGAGUAAGAACAUGGAUCAUGCAAAAGCUCGGGAAGUAUUGAAAAUUGCCAAAGAAAAGGCACAGAAGAAGCAAAGUGAAACCUCUACUUCCAAAAAUACACAUUCAAAAGUCCAUUUCACUCGUCGAUACCAGAAUCCUAGCUCAGGUUCCCUUCCACCCCGGGUUCGUUUAAAACCACAGAGGUACAGGAAUGAAGAAAAUGACUCUUCUUUGAAGACAGGACUCGAGAAAAUGCGGAGUGGCAAGAUGGCACCCAAGCCCCAGUCUCGCUGCACCUCCACCCGCUCAGCAGGUCUCAACAAAUGGCAGCUAUUACAUCAGACAGUGACGAGUCCUGCUGCUCCCUUACAGUGUCUGACAGACCACUGUGGAUUCAGACUGGGAGCAUUGAAGUUAACAGUGAAACGGGCAGCACAAAGACAUUAGCAGGCUGCUGGUUUCAUGGACCUGUACCACAAUGACAGAGAACAUCAGAGCAUCAGGACUGAAUGAAAUUGGAGAUUUUUAAAGCUGCACUAAGAAGUAAAUGUUAAGGCAGUGGUUAAACCCAAAAGUCUAUAAAGGGGCACUUGCAUUAUAAUAAACUGAAGAAAAGGUAUUAGGGAAUAUUUUCUAAAACUACUGCAAUAAAUUAUGCAUGAGAUGAGGAGAAAGUGAUGUGAAUACACGUAAGAACUCACUUGAAUCUUACAUAUGGAGAAUCACUGACAAUAACUUCCUUAGAAUGUGAAGUUCUUAUCAGUACAGUCUGGACAGGCCUAAAGGGCACGGGAUGAUGUAGAAAUGCUGAAUUAUUUUUCAUACCUAAACUUCGUGCUUGCUCCAAGGCUUAUGUUAAUCAGUUCAGAUAUGAGCAAUGGUAUUUCUAGAAUGGUUCUUAUGAAACAGCAAUAGUCUCGUGCUAAGGCCAAUGUCUCCUUCAGGGUGCCAGUGGAAACAAGAGGAAAGAUUAUCUAACAUCCCUCUGGAGGGAUGGCAAAGUGCCCCACUCCACAAACAAAUUUGGAUCAUUUCUUUCUUUAAUAAAGCAGGGCUGUAUUAUCUUGAAUACAUGUUUGCUUGUUAGAACAUAUUAAGGUGUAUUUAUUUGCCACUAGUAUUUAACAUUUUGUGCACAUUUUCAUAACUACAUGCUUAUCUUUUCAUAUUUUGACUCCAAGUGGAUAGUCUAGUGUUGACCUUGGAGUGAAAAUGUAUACUCCAAGAGCUAGUUCUUAAUUUACUGAGCUGGAAAAAGUUUUAUUCUUGUCUCUGUCCUUAUUGAUUUUAUCUUGUUCAGAAGAGGUAACAACAUCUGAAUUUUGAUGUAGACCUCUUUACAGAGAGCCCCUCCAUCUAAUUGCAAGAAAUUCUCACAGGUGUCAGGUAGGACUUGGCCCUGGGGGAUGAGUGGCCAGAAGAGAUCCAUAAAGAUAGCUUGAACUUUCUGUGCAUGGAACACGAAUUCUUAGUAGAGACCAUAAUUUCUUUCUUUGAUAAGUACAUAUUAUGAAAAACUUUAAUUUUUCUUUUUUAAUGAAUGGAGAAAACAUGAGAAAAUCAGAUGGACCUGUUAGUACUACAUUUUUAAGGCAUUUUAUAUUUGAUGGUGCCGUACUUUUAAUAAAAAAAACUGAAGUUUUUUAGUGGCAAUACUGAUUUAUUUUUUAAAUCAGAAAGAUUAUUCCAUAUUGGUUACUUGUUUAAAAAAAAAAAAAAGAAAGAAAAAAAAUGCCAAAAAAAAAAAAAAAAAAAAAAAACCCACAAAUUCAUUUGAAGCAACAUAAUAGAUAGCUGAGCACUUGGCUCAGGUGUUCUAACUUUCCGUGAUCUUACUGUAUAGGUUUGGAAUUACCUAAUGACCACAUGCUCAGGAUUGAUAAAAUGUUCUAGGUGAAAGUUUUAGAAUAUUUAAUUUAUCUGACUGAUUGUUUUUUACAACUCAAGAAAACAUGCAGUCUUGAGCCUUGUGAGCUUAAUACAAAUCCUAAUUACAUUGCAAGUAAUUAAAAGUGUUGACUGCAUCCUACAGUUGUCUUUUUGGAAGAUUCAGUAUUAUGAAGUCAUUAUAUAUCUUAUCAAAUUGGAAAAAGUCAGCUCAGGAACUAUAGCAGCAGGAAAUUCUAAAGAUGACAGGUACUAUCAGGUGCCCUACUCUAGAUGGCCCAAGGGUGAUGGCAUGGGUCAUCUUGGCCUUUCAGAUACCUAACACCAGCAGUACCUUUUAGGCUCAUUUCAAGAACCAGAUGACUCCCAAGCCUUGGUGGGAUUACACGUGGAUUGUAUAAUGAGGAUUUUAAACUAAGCUUUAGGAUUCUUUGUGUAGAGUAAUGGGAAUGACCAAGAAGUAAUAAUAUAAAGGCAAAAUAAAUGGGAGAGAUCGAGUUUUAAGUAUCUAAAUAUUUUUUCUCAUAAUAAAUUCUCAAAGAUGUUUUGUUGCAAACUAGAUUUUCAUUUUUUAAAAAAUGAAACUUGGUGGUAUUUAAAAUCUAGACCAUGUUGUGACAUCACUUAUAUUGCUUUAGUUGCUUAAUAUUUAAGCUUUGCUUCAUGCUACCUUUUGUCUGUAUUUCAAAUCUUCACAAGCCUAUUUCAUUUUGUAGACUUGAAUGACAAAAAUUGUUUCUCAUCUUAAGUAUGCUCAGAGUUAAAUGUUGAAGAAUGUUGUGUAACACUUAUCCAAUAAAGUCUUUGAUUUUUUUAAAAUUUA